AGCUAUUUAACUGACUGGAAAGUGUAUGUUUUGAAAACAUUUAAUAAAGGUUCGAAUCCUUUAAUAGUUU
rnacentral:tRNA from 1 species